AUCCGGAUAACGAGUCCCAAACGGGACGAAAUGCGCGUCCCAGAU
rnacentral:hammerhead_ribozyme from 1 species